CCUACGGGGGGCAGCAGUGAGGAAUAUUGGUCACUGGACGAGAGUCUGAACCAGCCAAGUAGCGUGAAGGAUGACUGCCCUAUGGGUUGUAAACUUCUUUUAUAUGGGAAUAAAAUGUUCCACGUGUGGGAUUUUGUAUGUACCAUAUGAAUAAGGAUCGGCUAACUCCGUGCCAGCAGCCGCGGUAAUACGGAGGAUACUAGCGUUAUCCGGAUUUAUUGGGUUUAAAGGGAGCGUAGGUGGAUUGUUAAGUCAGUUGUGAAAGUUUGCGGCUCAACCGUAAAAUUGCAGUUGAAACUGGCAGUCGUGAGUACAGUAGAGGUGGGCGGAAUUCGUGGUGUAGCAGUGAAAUGCUUAGAUAUCACGAAGAACUCCGAUUGCGAAGGCAGCUCACUGGACUGCAACUGACACUGAGGCUCGAAAGUGUGGGUAUCAAACAGGAUUAGAUACCCCAGUAGUC
rnacentral:rRNA from 1 species